UACGUAGGGUCCGAGCGUUGUCCGGAAUUACUGGGCGUAAAGAGCUCGUAGGUGGUUUGUCGCGUUGUUCGUGAAAACUCACAGCUCAACUGUGGGCGUGCGGGCGAUACGGGCAGACUGGAGUACUGCAGGGGAGACUGGAAUUCCUGGUGUAGCGGUGGAAUGCGCAGAUAUCAGGAGGAAUACCAGUGGCGAAGGCGGCUUUCUGGGCCUACCCUGACGCUGAGGAGCGAAAGCGUGGGGAGCAAACCGG
rnacentral:rRNA from 1 species